UACGUAGGGCGCGAGCGUUGUCCGGAAUUAUUGGGCGUAAAGAGCUCGUAGGCGGCCGGUUGCGUCUGCUGUGAAAUCCCGGGGCUUAACCCCGGGCGUGCAGUGGAUACGGGCCGGCUGGAGGCAGGCAGGGGAGAAUGGAAUUCCCGGUGUAGCGGUGAAAUGCGCAGAUAUCAGGAGGAACACCGGUGGCGAAGGCGGUUCUCUGGGCAUGUCCUGACGCUGAGGAGCGAAAGUGUGGGGAGCGAACAGG
rnacentral:rRNA from 1 species